GACGAACGCUGGCGGCGUGCUUAACACAUGCAAGUCGAACGGAAGGGCCCUGCUUUUGUGGGGUGCUCGAGUGGCGAACGGGUGAGUAACACGUGUGUAACCUGCCCUUGACUUUGGGAUAACUUCAGGAAACUGGGGCUAAUACCGGAUAGGAGCUCCUGCUGCAUGGUGGGGGUUGGAAAGUUUCGGCGGUUGGGGAUGGACUCGCGGCUUAUCAGCUUGUUGGUGGGGUAGUGGCUUACCAAGGCUUUGACGGGUAGCCGGCCUGAGAGGGUUACCGGCCACAUUGGGACUGGGAUACGGCCCAGACUCCUACGGGAGGCAGCAGUGGGGAAUAUUGCACAAUGGGCGGAAGCCUGAUGCAGCAACGCCGCGUGCGGGAUGACGGCCUUCGGGUUGUAAACCGCUUUCGCCUGUGACGAAGCGUGAGUGACGGUAAUGGGUAAAGAAGCACCGGCUAACUACGUG
rnacentral:rRNA from 1 species